AAUCUUGUUAAACUCUGUCGUGCUGGGGAUAGAGCAUUGCAAUUAUUGCUCUUCAACGAGGAAUGCCUAGUAAGCGCAUGUCAUCAGCAUGCGUUGAUUACGUCCCUGCCCUUUGUACACACCGCCCGUCGCUACUACCGAUUGAAUGGCUCGGUGAGGCCUUCGGACUGGCCCAGGGAGGUCGGCAACGACCACCCAGGGCCGGAAAGUUGGUCAAACCCGGUCAUUUAGAGGAAGUAAAAGUCGUAACAAGGUCUCCGUAGGUGAACCUGCGGAGGGAUCAUUA
rnacentral:ncRNA from 1 species